rnacentral:rRNA from 1 species
UACGGAGGGGGCUAGCGUUGUUCGGAAUUACUGGGCGUAAAGCGUGCGCAGGCGGCUUCUCAAGUCAGGGGUGAAAGCCCAGAGCUCAACUCUGGAAUUGCCUUUGAGACUGAGUGGCUUGAGUACGAGAGAGGUGAGUGGAAUUCCCAGUGUAGAGGUGAAAUUCGUAGAUAUUCGCAAGAACACCAGUGGCGAAGGCGGCUCACUGGCCCGAUACUGACGCUGAGGCACGAAAGCGUGGGGAGCAAACAGG